CAUGGCCUUCCUACGCCCGAUGGAACGCGAAUUCCGUCGCAGCAAAUGAUAUUCACUUGCUUCCGAACAACCUGCCGUCUGUUACAACUGUCGUUGGGCCCGGGCCCAAAAGAAGGAAUGCCAAACAAGCAAUCACUGAAUUAAACAUGGUGCUUCAGACAAUUUCUACGACUGUCCAAGGGUUCCCUGUUCCUGUGCUGUGCGGAUGCAUUAACAUGUUGCGCUCUAUCAACAACCGGUGGAGAGCAAACGUUCCGGCAGAUUUGGGCGACGAUGGCGUGACAUUGGCUUUCCUCGAUGAGGCUUUUAAGUUUCUUGACGAGGGCUUGGCGCGUGCACAAACCGAAGAACCACC